UACGGGGGGGGCAAGCGUUAUUCGGAAUUAUUGGGCGUAAAGGGCGCGUAGGCGGCUUUGCAAGUGGCGGGUGAAAUCCCUCGGCUUAACCGAGGAACUGCCUGUCAAACUGCAUGGCUUGAGACCGGGAGAGGUGAGUGGAAUUCCCAGUGUAGCGGUGAAAUGCGUAGAUAUUGGGAGGAACACCAGUGGCGAAGGCGGCUCACUGGCCCGGUACUGACGCUGAGGUGCGAAAGCGUGGGGAGCAAACAGG
rnacentral:rRNA from 1 species